GACGAACGCUGGCGGCGUGCUUAACACAUGCAAGUCGAACGGUGAAGCGCCUUCCUUUUUGGUGGGUGUGGAUGAGUGGCGAACGGGUGAGUAACACGUGAGUAACCUGCCCCCUUCUUCUGGAUAACCGCAUGAAAGUGUGGCUAAUACGGGAUAUUCUGGGUCUGUCGCAUGAUGGGUCUGGGAAAGAUAUUGUUUCGGUGGGGGAUGGGCUCGCGGCCUAUCAGCUUGUUGGUGGGGUGAUGGCCUACCAAGGCGGUGACGGGUAGCCGGCCUGAGAGGGUGGACGGUCACACUGGGACUGAGACACGGCCCAGACUCCGACGGGAGGCAGCAGGGGGGAAUAUUGCACAGUGGGCGCAAGGCUGAUGCAGCGACGCCGCGUGAGGGAUGGAGGCCUUCGGGUUGUGAACCUCUUUCGCCAGUGAAGCAGGCCUGCCUCGUUUGUGGGUGGGUUGACGGUAGCUGGAUAAGAAGCGCCGGCUAACUACGUG
rnacentral:rRNA from 1 species